rnacentral:rRNA from 1 species
UUGCCUACGGGACGCAGCAGUGGGGGAUAUUGCACAAUGGGGGGAACCCCGAUGCAGCGACGCCGCGUGGGUGAAGAAGCGCCUCGGCGCGUAAAGCCCUGUCAGCAGGGAAGAAGAAAGACGGUACCCGACCAAGAAGCCCCGGCUAACUACGUGCCAGCAGCCGCGGUAAUACGUAGGGGGCGAGCGUUAUCCGGAAUUACUGGGUGUAAAGGGAGCGUAGACGGCGAGGUAAGCCUGAAGUGGAAGCCCGCGGCCCAACCGCGGAACUGCUUUGGGAACUGUUUUGCUGGAGUAUGGGAGGG